GAGGCAGGAGGCAGGAGGCAGGAGGAAGGAGGGACGAGGAGACAGUUGAGGAAACAAACAGGAGGAAGAAGGAGACAACAUUUCUCCUUUUGAUAAUAAAUGACGUGAUUCUCUGCGUGACUCAUAUUGCAGAUCCUCCCCAACGACGCCUGAGGAGCAAUUCAGUGGCGACAAAGAGAAGCACCCGCUUGUGUCGGCGGCCUGCUGACCCGUUGGGCGCGGUGGGGGCGGCGACCGCCGACCGCUGGUCCUCACGCUGCAGUGAGAAGCUGCUGCGUCGCUCAGUGAUGAAGAGUUGGAUCCACCGUGUGGCACUGGCUCACUGGCAGAUGUUCCCUCGCAGCGCCGCUUCACAUCUGUAUUUCAGUUAAUGCAGAUUAUUGGGAAAAAAAAAAAAAACAAGGAAAAGUUGGUUCAUCUUGGUUCAUCGAACCAUCAAAUCGUGAACGAGGAAAUACAAAAAGUGGGUGAAAUACACACCAGACCGUCACCCAGUAGACGGCCGGUCCUCACGACUUGAGUCAUUAUUUAAACUGAAACCAGGGUCCUAAAACCUAAACAGUACUUUUGAUACGAAGCUGAAACCACAACGGUUCCCUAAAACUAAACUUGUUUUCUGAGAAGCGGGGAGAUUAUUUUGGAAAAAUUGUUCACGUGUUGUUGGAUAUUUGUGGGGAACAUUUGGUGAGAUACCGUACGGAGGACACAGGGAAGGAGGUCACGGCAUUGAGAGCCGGUACCGGUCACCACGAGCCGCCUGCCGUUAAUAUUUGGGGAUUUGAAGUUUAAAAAAAAAAAACAAUUUAAAGACUUCCAACUGUUUCUGCAUCAAACCCCAGCGAACAGUCACUUUAAACGUGUGUGUGGAUUGUUAACAAAAAUAACUCCACACACCUAAAAUGUGAUCUAUUUAUAGAGCGUCCUUAAGCAGCCAUUUGAACGCCGCGCCUUGUUUUUCGCCCCCACAGCGACUCGACUCCCUGCCAACCCUCUUUGUGCGGGACGCACUUCUCAGAAGGUUACGCAAUGAGGAAAGAGCUCCACGAGACGCGCGAGUGGAGGGGGGAGAAAAAACAGAGAAGAGAAGACUGAUUCUGGUGAAUUCCUCUGGAGCCGGAGUGGAGGUAUUUCUGCGUAAACCUCCUGAACGCCGCUGUGUGCCGCGGCGGUUGCGUGGUGUUGAUGGAAAAAGGUUUUAUUCCCCAAUAAAAGCUUGUUUACUGGAGACUAACUGGCUGUGUGUUGCUAUCUAUAAAAAAAAAAGACACGACAGAGGACUGAGGCCUGCGCAUGUUUUGCACAUAAGAUGCUCAAAUAAAGUUCCUGCAUGUGGACUCGCUGAAACAAACGUCAAAUGUCUGGACGGAGUCGAGCAUAAUUGAGGGUUUUACGGUCCGGCGACGGAAAUUUGCUGGUGAGUUAAAGCUUAAAAAUAAUCCAGCAGAGAUUCCUUCUCUUUUUCUAAAUGCAUUUUUACCCUCAGUUUUAUUUUGAAGGGGGCAGGAUGGAGCCGCGCUCAGCAGGUCGUCCGAGCGGUUGAACAGUAACAGGACGGUGCUGAAGCUUUACCACUCGGGGGGGUCGGGAGGGGUGACGGGAAGACAAACAGACCCAAAACGGGCCUCGGCAAACAGCCGGCCUGUGGCGAAGACGCCCGCGGCACAGCGGGAGUGAAAACGCCGCGCUGCUUCCUGCGUGGAAGCACAUAGCUCUCAUUCAGGAUGCUGACCGUGGGUUUCCCGUGAAUGCGCGCGGCGUCGUGUUUGGCCAGCGUGUUAUUCUGGUUUGCUGAGCUAUAACUGGGAGAGCGCCUUGCCGUAACCUCGACCACUUCGUGGAUUCAUCACCGCGGUGCCGCUGUGCGAUCCAAAAGGGCCGGACUGGUCGCUGAGUAACGCCAACCGGAUCGUUCAAAAUGACUCUUUUCCACCAACUAUGAAUUCUAUUCAGCACAAACCGACAUGAGUUUCUUCUUCCUGUGCCGUUAACUGACACGUUUGUUGGUGGAGGCGUACUUUCACACCCAACCAAACAUGAAGCUUGGAGGAGAAGGAGCAGCUGGACUUGACGUUGUGUUGUUCUGGUUCAUGGGACCUUGGUAACGUUCGCUGAUCACGACCCCUUUGACUAUCAAAGCGCCCGAUCUACGCCGUCGGAUUCUUCCCGCUAGUCGUCUUGUUUCCCCUCCGCCUGUAGCCUUGGAGACGACACACAGCAGAGGCUUCUGGGUUGAAGCCUCCGUCCGUCAUCACAGAGAAGAAGAAGAAGAAGAAGAAGAAGAAGAAGAAGAAGAAGAAGAAGAAGAAGAAGAAGAAUUGCCACGUAUUAUUUUACACGUACAGGAAAUUGUUCUGUGCAUUUAACCCGUCCUGCACAGUGGGUGCUGCCGUACAGCAGUCAGGGGUCAGGGGUCACGGUGCACCCGCUCUACUCCGGGUCGCCCCGAGCAUAACGGAGUCGUCGGCUCACGUUAAGGUCUGCAGCGUUUCGCCCAAACUUCCUGCCGUCAGCGGCCUGAUGCUCACUGCUGCGACUAAGAAGAAGAAGACCGUAAACUGUGUGUGUGUGUGUGUGUAAAAUGUGCCGGC
ensembl:lncRNA